AGAUUGAACGCUGGCGGAAUGCUUUACACAUGCAAGUCGAGCGGCAGCGCGGGGAGGGGUAACCCUUUCUGGCGGCGAGCGGCGAACGGGUGAGUAACACAUCGGAACGUACCCAAUCGUGGGGGAUAACUAUCCGAAAGGAUAGCUAAUACCGCAUAAGUCCUGAGGGAGAAAGCAGGGGAUUCGCAAGAACCUUGCGCGGAUGGAGCGGCCGAUGUCGGAUUAGCUAGUUGGUGGGUAAAGGCCUACCAAGGCGACGAUCCGUAGCUGGUCUGAGAGGACGACCAGCCACACUGGAACUGAGACACGGUCCAGACUCCUACGGGAGGCCAGCAGUGGGGAAUUUUGGGCAAUGGGCGAAAGCCUGACCCAGCAACGCCGCGUGAAGGAGGAAAUCCUUCGGGAUGUAAACUUCAUAAGUAAGGGAAGAAAGCUGCGGAUUGAAUAAUCCGCAGUCCGACGGUACCUUACGUAGCCACGGCUAACUACGUGCCAGCAGCCGC
rnacentral:rRNA from 1 species